rnacentral:rRNA from 1 species
UACGUAGGGGGCAAGCGUUGUCCGGCUUUACUGGGUGUAAAGGGUGCUCCGGUGGUCUUGUAAGUCAAUGGUGAACUCCCAGAGCUCAACUCUGGACCUGCCUUUGAUACUACAAGGCUUGAGUAUGGAAGAGGUUGAUGGAAUUUCGGGUGUAGCAGUGAAAUGCGUAGAUAUCCGAAAGAACACCAGUGGCGAAGGCGGUCAACUGGUCCAUUACUGACACUAAAGCACGAGAGCGUGGGGAGCAAACAGG